AUUUUGAAUCAUUGGCGGUGCAGCAGUGACUACUUUCAAGCUGCUGGAAACUUUUGCUGAAGUAUUCGCGAUCAGGGUCACAGAGAGACACUUUUAGUGCUGGUCCAUUGUUGGGGUCUCUGAGGAAAACUCCAAAGUCUAACAGAGAACUUCAAGGAAGAGAAUUGACCCUGUUACUUCAGAACAGCCCCGGCGGGUAACAAUAAUUGAAAGGAAGCAGUGAAGGAAAUUUCUCAAAGGAAGCCCACCGAGAAGCCAGCAGAGUCCUGCCCGUGGAGGUGCCCAGGUCGGCGAGGCUGGAGGCAGAAUCAUCUAGAACUGCACGCUUCUUCGGAUGUCGAGAAACUGCAAUUCCUAUUAAGAGCACUUGACGGUUUACUCGGCACGGAACUUCAGCCCCAGCCUGCAUCAAUCUAAAUGCGUUUCGAGACGUCAGGCCCCCGAAAAGUGCAGACGCCCUAGGUAAUGAAUUUGAACUUCAGCUUUCUCAUCUGUCUGUGGGAAUUAGGAAGCUGGGACUGCAGAAGUAAUAGGGGCUAAGUAGUAGGAGCGCGGAUAGAAAGGCAUCCAGCCCUGCACUGAAGGAGACGGCUACCCAGGAAGCCAAAGCAAGAGAAAAGCGCGGUGGGCACCUGCUACUCUGCAGCGUGGAGCUGGGUUCUGAAGGUGGGUGAGCAGAGCAGAUCAAGGAGGAUAAAAGGAUCUUCCUACAUCUGUAAUUUCCCUCUCUCCAUUCAGCAGACUCAAACUGAGCCCCUACUAGGUUUGAGUCAUGCUUCCUGGGUUUGAAACUGUCGGAAUGCUUGAGAAAACAACAACACAGAAACGAUUACCAGUGGGUGCAGAAACAAGCAAGUUCUUAAUGAGGCAAAAACAGUGGCUGGCGGAGCGGAGCUCGCGUCCUGGAGGGGCUGACGUUCCCACGCGGCCCCAGCCCCUCCUGUGCGGCUCCCAGUGUGUAGGAGCAGAGAGGAGGCACGGAAGGAAGCGGGUGUGCUCAGUGCAAUGCAUGCAGUAUCUGCCGAGGUGGCUGAUCUGCAGCCUUCCCAGAGAAGAUGAGGACAAGGCAAGGGAGGUGAGUUGAUUACAGGAAUUUAGAUUGAUCCGCAGGGCCCACCCCCAGCACAGAAGGAAGAAUGGCAGUCACUGCCAUUGCAGAGCCUUGGGUGUGAUAAUUACAGGUGGGUCUGCAGCCUUGCACAUCCCCUACAUUGUUAUCUGAGAGCCUGGUUCCCCGGCCAGCAUUUUCAGAGCGAUUGCAAGCACAUUGUCUGUCACUGGGACUCAGGUUUAGUAUGAACAAAGCCACAUGGAAAACCAAGGCUGCCUGGCUCCUAGUCUUCUUGCCUUUCCCUUCCUUCAAGGGGAGUCACCUUUGGCUCAUGCCCUGGAUUUGAUGCCGGGCACCACUUGGUGUGCUGCCCCGUGUGCCUCUUCAUCAUCAUGUCAUGCCUGGGCACCUCUUCCACCCACAGCCACCACCCUUCAGAGUCCACUGCACUUGUGCCCCUCAGGAGGGGCCCUGCCCAAGCCCAGAGGUGCCCCUCAUGUGGGAUCAGCAGAGCAGGGCAUCCUCUCCUGUGUCAACUUCC